GUAUGUGAAGGGCUGGAAUGAGCAGCUGCCAGAGGGCCCUGCCUUUACAAGCUCGUGUUUUUUAAUGAAGUCGGUGAAGCCUCCAGUGCUAUGAUAGCACUUUAACCCACUGUUAAUGGUCAGAAUUCCUCAGGUCAGAAACAAAUUAUUUGUAAUCCCUGAGCUUUUUCAGGUUUCAUGCUAAGGUACGUGUGAGCAGGUUUGGUGUCACGGGGCAAAGACAAGGUGUACCAUGAAUCUAUGCUACAUCUCAGAGAGCUCAAAAUGCAAAAGUCACAGUCUGUAGCGAAGCUCUGGAGCUAAAAUACGUGAAAGCAGCUGUCAGAUCCCCUUCCCUCUGUUCUCCCCAUCCUUCUUCAUGAUCCAGAAAAUUGAAGUUUAUCGAAUUAAAGUUUUAGUAUGUGCUUCCUUAGAAAACAAAACAGAGCCACGGUAAUACUCACUGCCUAUAGACAAUCCAUAAUGAAAUGUUUUCGUUUAGGCUCUCUGCCAUCAAUUUAAGAACAGGGAUCCUGUGGGAGCUCAGGGAAACACAAGCCUGACAAAUAUCCUCACUUCUGCUAGUUGGAUUAUUUCCUCCGAGCAGCAACUGAGCUCAUAUUUGGUGCUAUUCCAUUUCUACAGCGAAGGCGAGAGAACGCCACAAGGUGGGAGCGAGGCAGCUGCCCUGAAAACAACGCCGUGGCACACAUGUAGGGGAAAACGACCCUUUGGUAAUCGCUCAUGAUCUCUGGUUGUGUAUUUGUCUAUUUUUUUAUCAACACGUGUGCCAGGGAGAAGCCCUCUGUCUGAUGGGUGAGCCUUGUGUGAGUUUGCAGAGCCACGCAGACAGCUGCUCUGCUGCCAGCAGUGAGUCACGAGGGAGCGACAGACAUGCUAUGAGCUGCAACUGCUCCGAGCUCUGGGCCCAGAGCAGCUCUGUCAGACAACCCUGACAUUACAUUUUGGCCUUGGACAGAGACCAGGGCUUUGGCCUCAUCGGUCUUCUGACCCACUCCAGUGUCUCAGGCCCUGUCCCAACUAUGCCAAGCAACCUCUACUCACUGCAAGUAGUUCCAACCUAUGCAGAUGCUGCUCAUCUGCUCUGUGCCAGUAAGAAGUCAAAUCAGUUUGCAUAAACCAUGACUUGUGAGAGCACUCUGAUGUCUCAAUUUAUUCUUUUUGAUUCCAUGACAGAACAGGUGGGAGAAGCAGUACUCACACUGGGCUGCUUUCCUGUGACCUUUCAUCCACGCUUCUUCCUCCAGGGAGCUCCAACUCUUCCUUGAUCAAAAGAGGAUCUAACCCAGGAGGACCGGAGGACUCCGAGUAGGGGAAAGCACAGCUCAGUCUGAAAGGUUCCAUGCACAGAACUGAAGUCAAUGGGAAGGCUGAUGGAGAUGGGGAAAUGUGGCCCUGCACUGUAGUACUGACUCUCCAACUGUCCACAUCCAGAUCUGGGCAUGGAGAGGAGGAUAAGGACUUCUCAGGCUGACAAGCUGCCUUUGGACAGGUGUCUUUUUAACCUGUCCCACAAACCAGUGCCAAGGUGACAACUGAAGCUCAGCCAGUCACUGACAACUUGCUUUACUGAUAAAUGACCAAGCUCUCAGAUAACAUGGACCAGCUAAGGCCUUUCUCCUCAAUGAGGUUAUGUGGAUUGUAAAACAAGUUAUACGAGAGAUCAUGAAACUAUAGAACCUCAAAGGAACCACUGUGUUUUUUCUGCUGGUGUAUGGAUCCCCUUUCUGCCUGGAUCACAUGAAAGUGUUCUAUUAAUGUGAAUUGGCUUAUGUUUGAGAACACUAUGCUGGAGAGCUAUGAAGUGCAAGGAAUCUGACCCAGGGAUCUGCAGGGCUGUGACACAUCAGUUCUUUACAGGAAUUCUCAGUUGCUGGUUGAGAAUAACACAAGAUAGGUCCCGUACAUGGCGUGCAGUCUGCUGUCAUUGUUGAUGUUAGUAAACCUUUUGCCUAAGGCAGUGAGACGAGCUCCUGAUACGCCAUUGUAACUGGAAUUUCCCCCUCUAGCAGUCACUGCAGGACUAUAAGUAGGCAGUGUCAGGCUGCCUCUCCACCCAGCUAACUCAGUAAGUUGGGAAAACCAUUCCUCACUAACACACACAGCCACUGCAUGGCUGCAAGUGAUAGCUGCCUCAAGAAAAACACUGCAAGUCAGCACUGCUCGCCGUGUUUCCUGAGGAAUGCUUUGCUGGAGUUCAGAACAAACAUUCGAGGUCUGGGAACGCUACGAGAGUGCCUGGCAGAAGAAAAGCCUCCUGCCACCAUUCCAUUCGAAACCCCUUUGCCAGUGUUUAGUCUUCUCUCACCCACACGCUUGGCAAGGAGGGAGAGCAGCCCGUCUCUUCUCCCUGCCGAUAAGAUGGAGCUCUCAGCCCGCUUGUCUGAACGCAGCAGUUGAAGGAAGACGCACAACUGGGUUUUGUUUUGCUCCAGAGGGAGCAAGUCUGACCUAUUUUACACACAGGCGCAACAUCACCUUCGUGAUUCUUUUAGGAAAAUACAUGCCACUGCAGCAUAGGUGACUUAGCUAUAAAAUCCCACACCAGGGGUGGGAGAGAAAAGAAAGGAAAGCCACACCAAUCACCAAAGUGACUUUAAGUAGAACACAUCUUCUGUUCCAUCAUGCCCCUGAAAGAUCCUCCCUUGGAAUACGUUAUUUCAGACAGGAAAAAGGUGUUCCUUUCUUCAGAGAUGAAGUUGCGUGCCUUUAGCCACAUGUAAUAGAAACAUAAUGGGUUCAGUGCAACGGGCGAAGAAAUGACUGAGUUGUUAGUAUAAAGCCAAUCACAGAAGCACUUCGGUCUCACUUCACUGUUUGCACAGUGUUGGCAACGUCUGAAGGGUGAUAACUGCCAGAGACUGCUAUAAGGAAAAGGGGAUUCCUAUGGAUUUUCUGGGAAGAGAGGAAUUACUGCCAUACCAGAAGUUCAGCGUCGAAAUAACUGCACAGUUAUGCACCAUAUUGUGGUCACAACUCCACAGAGCACUAACUGCCUUCUUCUUGUUGUUGUUGUUGCAAAAACACGUUCUGCAUUUGAUUUUAAUUCCUUUGCUUCUCCAUUAGAAACGCAUUGGCCGGACCACCAAGGCAGCAGCAGUCUGGCUAUUCUCCACUCCGAUGCACCACUGACGUCUGUGUAUAUGUGUAUGUGUAUAUGUGCAUGUGUAUAUUUCAUGUUCCUGCUUUCAAAGCUCUGGUCUGUAUUUUUUAUUUCAAAAUAAAUUGCUCUUUGAAUGUAAUGAGAAAGUGGAAGGCAUUGGGUG
ensembl:lncRNA